rnacentral:rRNA from 1 species
UACAGAGACUGCAAGCGUUAUUCGGAUUCACUGGGCGUAAAGGGUGCGCAGGCGGCCGUGUGUGUGAGGCGUGAAAGCCCGGGGCUUAACCCCGGAAUUGCACCUCAAACUACAUGGCUAGAGCAUUGGAGAGGGUAGCGGAAUUCACGGUGUAGCAGUGAAAUGCGUAGAUAUCGUGAGGAACACCAGAGGCGAAGGCGGCUACCUGGACAAUUGCUGACGCUCAGGCACGAAAGCGUGGGGAG